GUGAUUAUAGUUCAGUUGGUUAGAACGCUUUUCUGUGGAAAAAGAGGUCGCGAGUUCAAAUCUCGUUAAUCACCCUA
rnacentral:tRNA from 1 species